UCCUGCAGAAAUUGAGCAUGGAUGAUGCCAAUUUUGGUCAAAGGUGAUUAUGUCAGAAGUGGAAGAAAGGUCAAGGCUUGUCACGGCCGGUUAUGGCCGGCACAGGAGUCAAUGGAAUAAUGAGCACCCCUUUUCCAAUAAGCCUCCCCUUCUAAUAAGCAUCCUUAUUCUAAUUAUCAUGUUACAGCACCAUCAGAGUACGCAUCAAUGGAGCUUCAUCUUCCUUGAUUGCUCACAUAUGUAAUAUUGUUAUUGUCCCUUUUUAAAUAAAACCGUAUUAAAGUUUUGUUUUGAAUAUUUGGUUGUUUCUCAAAAAAGACAUAAGCCCCCUGUCCUGAAUAAGUGCCCUGUCUCUAAUAAGUGCCCUCCCUUGAAGUACAAAAAGUGAAUAAACGCCCUGGGUGCUAAAUCGAAUCAUUACAAUAACAGUAAUCCCAGAUCACCUGGUGGUUAGAUACACAUGUGUUUUAAAAUUUUAUUGAUUUGGGUUGAAAUAGGGGGCUCAAUAAAAAGACUUUUUGCUGGAAUGUAUUCUGACCUGUAAUUAGUUGAGGUUGUUCCAAUACAAUGUAAUAGAGACACUUAACUCCAGCUAGACCUGGGUCUGAGUAAAGUUUGUCUGAAAUUUUCCCUUCUCCCAUACUACAGAAUAAAGAAUUCUUGCUUCUUAUAAAUUAAGAAAUGGGAAAUAUGAGGGAAUGACAAAGUUACGUGGACUGUAGAAACUUACUUGUACCUGCACUAAUUUUGAGGCCUUUUUUCAGGGUAUUUCAGAUGUAUCUUGGUCAUCAGAUUCAAAGCUGCUUGUUUCUGCUUCAGAUGAUAAAACUCUGAAAAUUUGGGAUUUUGCCACAGGAAAAUGUCUUAAGACACUCAAGGGACACAGCAAUUAUGUGUUUUGUUGUAACUUCAACCCUCAAUCUAACCUCAUUGUGUCUGGCUCUUUUGAUGAGAGUGUACGCAUUUGGGACGUCAAGACAGGAAAGUGCUUAAAGACAUUACCUGCUCAUUCAGAUCCUGUUACAGCGGUAAGAAGGAAUGUUUGAAUAUGUAAAAUUUAGUGCUAGCAUUAGUAUUUUUUGUGUUUACAACAAGAUUGCAAAAAAGGUUUUAUUACUUCUUUAGACUUUUGUGAAAUUUGCCUUAUAAGUGACAAUCAUUUCAAAAUACAAA